AUUGAACGCUGGCGGCAGGCUUAACACAUGCAAGUCGAGCGGGGUGAUGGUGCUUGCACUAUCACUUAGCGGCGGACGGGUGAGUAAUGCUUAGGAAUCUGCCUAUUAGUGGGGGACAACAUCUCGAAAGGGAUGCUAAUACCGCAUACGUCCUACGGGAGAAAGCAGGGGAUCACUUGUGACCUUGCGCUAAUAGAUGAGCCUAAGUCGGAUUAGCUAGUUGGUGGGGUAAAGGCCUACCAAGGCGACGAUCUGUAGCGGGUCUGAGAGGAUGAUCCGCCACACUGGGGCUGAGACACGGCCCAGACUCCUACGGGAGGCAGCAGUGGGGAAUAUUGGACAAUGGGGGGAACCCUGAUCCAGCCAUGCCGCGUGUGUGAAGAAGGCCUUAUGGUUGUAAAGCACUUUAAGCGAGGAGGAGGCUCUUUUGGUUAAUACCCAAGAUGAGUGGACGUACUCGCAGAAUAAGCACCGGCUAACUCUGUGCCAGCCGCCGCAGUAA
rnacentral:rRNA from 1 species